GUGUGAGAAUCAGCGGAACGACCUGCAGCUUCUGCAGUUGAACCUGGAAAGUGCACGUGAAAGUCUGCGGGAGCAGAGCAGUCAGGGGUUACCUGGCAGUCAGGAGGACUUCAGAUGUGUCUGCGUGGACGGCCGGUCUCCUUCAUCACUCAGAGCGAAAAACUCAAGACCUUCACCUGAUGCUGCCUCGCCACCAGCAGCCAAUCAGAGAGCCACAGUCAGCGGUGGCCUGCGGGUCGACGCAACGCACUCGAUAGAUGGUGAUGAUCCUCUGUCCAGCUGCUCUCUGCAGCAGCUGUUAGAAGAGUCCAGGCAGCUCCUCACUUCAGAGCACAGCAGCUCUGUGACCCCUGACCCUCUUUAUUCUCAUAGGUGCCACAAAUCCCAAAACCACCAUCACCACCCAACCACCCCGACACAAAAGGCCGGUGAAACUCCACCCAAAACCUGCCCUCGACACCAGGCAGCCAUGUGGACGACUUGAAGCACAUAUUUUUAUUU